CGUGUGGUUCUAUUUUGUUGGUUUCUAGGACCCGCCGUAAUGAUUAAUAGGGACAGUCGGGGGCAUCAGUAUUCAAUUGUCAGAGGUGAAAUUCUUGGAUCUAUUGAAGACUAACUAUUGCGAAAGCAUUUGCCAAGGAUGUUUUCAUUGAUAAGGAACGAAAGUUAGGGGAUCGAAGACGAUCAGAUACCGUCGUAGUCUUAACUAUAAACUAUGCCGACUAGGGAUCGGACGAUGUUAUUUUUUGACUCGUUCGGCACCUUUCGAGAAAUCAAAGUGCUUGGGCUCCAGGGGGAGUAUGGUCGCAAGGCUGAAACUUAAAGAAAUUGACGGAAGGGCACCCCAGGGGUGGAGCCUGCGGCUUAAUUUGACUCAACACGGGGAAACUCACCAGGUCCAGACACAAUGAGGAUUGACAGAUUGAGAG
rnacentral:rRNA from 1 species